UGAUGGUGUCUCUAUUAGCAAGUUUAAUAGUAACAUCUAUGUCUUCUAUUUCAGGGGGUGCUAUAUCAUCCAUAAUUUCUUGAUAUAAGGUAAAAGGAAUAGCACUCAUGCUAGCACCUAUGUCACAUAAACCAUGAUAAUAGUGAUCUCCUAUUUUGACUGAGACAACAGGUGUCGGGGCUGGAUUUCCGGGACAUAAAUCCCAGUAAACGACCCUUGUGUCAUCACCAACCCCAGGAUUACUGUUGCUGGUGGACAUUUCCUUGAUAUAGAAUUCCAAGCAAUUACAAGAGAUUGGAUACAAGACCACAAAGGUCCAAUGAAUAUAACAAGGAUCUCUAGUGGUGGAUGACGGCAGCGACUCAUGGAUCUCCAAUGUUGAUGGGACUCCAUUCCCACGGGAACAGCUGACAUGGAUAACUCCUAUCUCACGUGGCUGCUAUCUCCGAAUCCUAGGUUGCGGGGGAGUCUCCGUAAUGCUCCUCUCUAAGUCAUGAUCUAGCCAAGACAAUAGCCAGGGACAAGCCAGUGAGUACGUUUGAAUGUACUCGCAAACAUCAAGAACAAAAGAUAUACCGGAUGCAUAUGCUCAUGAUGAAUUAAAUUGCAUGCAUGUGUUGACUGAGUAUUAAAGCAUGGCAUGACAAAUAUUCAUAUAGAAAAUAAGUCAUGUUAUUAGUAAAUCAAAGAAAUGAAAUGGAACGUUGGGCGUUGGACCGCCCAAGAAAUUCCAAGAGAAAUGCCAAACGGGUGUCUAAAAGAGAAUCGGGCGAGACAAGACCGCCCGAGAACUCAAGCGAGGCCAUGAGAGGUCUUGAAAAGAAAUGCCAAAUGGGUGUCUAAAAGCGACACCUCGUAAGGUCUUGAAAAUGAAUGCCACAGUCGGGUGUCUGAGCGACGCCUCAUAAAGGGCUUAUAAGAAAAUAAUAACAUGAGUAUCCAGGUGGACUAGCCAUCCAAGUGAUACUCAGAAAUAAAAAAAUAAACUUGAGUAUCCCGGGUAGUCUAGCCAUCCCAAGAGAUACUCAAGGUUAAACAUAAGAGGAAAAGGUUAGUCCACAACAAUAUUCAUAUCAUCAAUAAUAUUCAAAAUGGCACCAGUAGUGACAAUAAUUACCCUGCAGAACGAUCCAUGAUCAAUUUAGUUAUUUCCUCCGGAGACUGACACUAAGACCGACACUUGACCAACCCAGACUGUAGUCCUUAACCAUGGACACGGCUAUUCGAAUAGAUGUAUCUCUGCAGAGGGUGUACUCUUUACCCACGUGUAUAGGAUUUCUUUAGCCAGCACCGAGACGCUGACUAAUUCCCGUUACGGCCUUUGGAUUGAAAACACACCUGACUAGCACACACCAGAUUAACUUUCCGGAUGCCAGGAAUCACCCAAAGCAUCGUUCAAGAGAAACUCUAAGGCGGGGAGACCAUCGUCUCGAGUAGCAUGGGAUCACUAUUAACACGCGCGGAUUACAAGGGGUGCCCCCCUCUCGGCCCAGCCGGAUACACCCAUGCCCCCUGGCCCGAUGAAUGGCAUUGCAGCCGGUACCUGGAAACCCUCAUCGUGACCUCUCUGUACGGUGUGUGCAGGGAAAGGGGUUAACAACUUACUGAACCGUACCCAGCCUGUGGUCGGGACAAGUGGUAGCACGAAACCAGUAUGGGGGUUACCGGAACAAGACUCGAUCUACAGUCAACUCAGGAGGUUUAAGUUUGCCUGCAGUGGUUAGCACAAUAUAAAUCCUUGGCAGUACCCAACAGGAUAACCACCUGGUAUGUCCCAACAUACCCUCACUGAUCACUCUCGUCACAACGAGUUUUCAGUCUCACAGUCACUUUUCUCGUGACUGAUUCUUCAUGCAAAUUAGCCUGGACCAACACAGGCACAUAUGGCACGUGAAAGUAACUGUACUCAUUUAUACUUCAUGUUUAAGUGAAAAGAAAAUACCAUCAAGGGGAUCAUGCAUGUAUGACCAACAAUAUGCAAACUCUAUAGGAAUUCAACAUGUUCAUAAUUCAAAUACACAUGCCACAAAUAAUUAUGUAGUCAUCAUAUCAUGUGUUCAAAAUGCUUGCCUUGAGCAUGCAGGAAUGUUGGGUGCACUCCAAAACUUUGAAAAUUAUAUCUCCCCUCCAUUUCCUAUUUUCAAAAUAUUUUAAUUACCACACAAUUCCAAAACAGUAGAUAAAAGUUGUUUGGAAAUUUGUGAAAUAAAUACUAAAAUAAACUAGAUGAAAUUUGAGAGAUAACAGAAAAAGAAUCAAGUCAUUUGAAGUUUAUAUGAUUUUCCUAUGGAUUUACUAAGCUGGAAUAAUCAAGGAAAUAGACUGUUUAUUAGAUCCAGCAAAAACCUGGCUUAGGAAAAAUGUUCACCCUAUCUGGAUAUAUAGAGCAUGAUUUUAGGAGUAGGCACAAAUUUGAAUCCUCAAAUUUGGAUGUGAAAUGGAUGCCGUGGAAUUAUUUGAAAUCUGGUGGACAAGAGAAAGGGAAACAGAUAUUACUGUGAUUGGCUGAGUAGAGACGCACCCCGGGCGCGGUAUAGCCGCCUUGCGCUACUGGGCCAAGCCCAGUUGUUUGGCUGCGUGGAAGGGCUGCGACGCCGAGGCGUACUCCCAGGAAUACGCUUUCCACGCGGGAAGGCAACUUCAACGGAACUCGUCUCCACUUAAGACGAGCUGGCGCGGCGCUGAGUCACUGACGAUGGGCCCGCCUGGCCCACCAGUCAGGUUUGACCAGUCCACGCGCGCGCCGUCUCCUCCGACCGAACAGGGGCGGAGCUCCGGCGAUCGGCGCCGGUGAACGGUGGCACUGUUCGGAAAACCGAGGCCACCUUCGAGCUUAGGAGAUCGAAGAUAACCCGUGGGUACCCUCCUUGGUCGCCGGAGUGGACGGAGUCACCGGCGGCGAGCUCUUCGGUGGACGGUAGCGUCGGGUGGGAUUGAGCUUUCGCCUACGGCGGCUCCUGAGCAGAAUCGAGAGGUGGGUUGGAUUCGUGGGUGCUCCAGGGUGCUGUUGGUGAAGAGGAUGGAGAGGGGGAGGCCCUAAUGGCGUCGGCAUGAACGAGACAGAGGCGGCGGCCGUGGUUGCCGGAGUUGGGGAAGAUGACCCGCUCCGGUCGUUCUAUCGCUAUCAGUGGGUUAGUGAGGGAGGGAGAGAGGUGGUGAUGGACUGAUAAGUCUGGGGGUAAGCUUUUAUAGUGCGAGGGGGUCGGCUCCAUGGUGUCCCGAGGAUAAGCACGGCGGCGGCG
rnacentral:lncRNA from 1 species